UGUCGCCGGCGACCGGCGGCCGGCCACCGUGCGCGGUGGUUCCGGCUGUGGCUCCUGUGGGCUAUGGAGAUGAUUCAACUUCCAGAGGCUUCCUCUUAAAUUUUUGAAAUUUUUGAGACACAGAUAAACUUCGGGUGAUCGAGGUCAGCUAUUUUUCUGCAUCCAGCAGCCACAAUAGUCAUCGGUGUACUGCCACAGGAGGAGUUAUUUUACAGAGCAACCUGUUUUCUUCCUCGCAGGUUUAACGUCGAUUAUUUAAUUAUUUUACUAUCUUUUCUAAAUUUAAAAUCUAGAACUCCGCAUGUGUUAGUAAUAAUGUGGGCCUUGUUAGAAAUUGUGUUAAUUUAAAUUUUUGAGAUUAAUAAAUAAAGAUUUGUAUGGUAUUUAAACAGUUUAUAAAUGAGGUAACAGGGUUGAGCUGGGCUCCCCUAAUUUUAGUUUUCUGAA